UUCGGCUAACCGAAUCAGAAAGGUUCCAGGAGGAGCUGCGCGGUAUUACCGAGCACUUCGUUGACAUCUCGGAGUGUGGCCAAUCCCCCUCGUGGGUACGAGCCAUGUUUUGAGGCAACAACAACAACAACAACAACAACAACAACAACAACAACAACAACAACAACAACAACAACAACAACAACAACAACAACAACAACAACAACAACAACAACAACAUAA